UAUUUAUUACAUGCUUUUAUUCUUUUAAAACUCACAGGUUAAAUAAAAUAGAUAUAGUAUAAUUGGUUCAGGUUAUAACUAUUGCAUCCUUCUAUUUUCUUCUCUAAUCUUUUCCAAAAUUACUAUCUUUGUAGGUUUUAAAGUGGCUAAAAUUCCUUAAUCUUAGUCACUCCAAGUUUUUGAGAGAAACACCUGACUUUUCAGGACUACCAAGUCUUGAAAAGCUCAUUCUAAAAGAUUGCCCAAGUUUGUGCACGGUACACCAAUCCAUUGGAGAUCUCCACAAUCUACUUCUGUUAAAUUUGAAAGACUGCACAAGUCUAAGCAAUCUCCCCAUAGAGAUAUAUAAGUUGAAAUCUUUAAGAACUUUCAUCCUCUCUGGUUGUUUCAAGGUUAAUAUAUUGGAAGAAGAUAUAGCGCAGAUGAAAUCCUUGAUAACUCUUGUUGCUGAAAAUACAGCUGUGAAAACAAGUGUCUUGUAAGUGUGCUCAUUGUAAUUGUCUUGGUCACAUUAUUGAAACUUUCUAUAAGAAAUAUGGAUAUCCUCUCACAUGCAGAAUUCUCAUUUUGCUCUUAAUGUUCGAUCACUCGGAGAUAUUGAUGAAGGUGAUGAUACUACAACUGAUCUUUCUCGAGUAGUAGUGUCUUCUACUAGAAAUAUGACUCUGACUCCUGAGAUACAUUGUUGAUUUAAUAUUUCUAGGUAACUGUUCAUAAAAUUAGUUAAGAGUUUGUUACUGCAGUUACUAUAAAUGUAAUUGUUAGCAAAGAUAAUAAAAUAUCUUCCUCUGUAUUAUUCUAAAAAACCAACAAUUGGUAUCAGAGCUAUCUUCUUGAGGGAUCUGUGAGGUUAGUAGAGUGCAUCAAUGGAAGGAGGUUUCAAUUUUUCAGCAAUGGCACCACCUGUCUUUGAUGGAGACAACUAUCAAAUGUGGGCUGUUCGUAUGGAGACCUACCUAGAAGCAUUGGAUUUAUGGGAAGCUGUAGAAGAGGAAAUUCAGUCCCUUCCAGAAAACCCUACUGUGGCACAAAUAAAAUCACAGAAGGAAAAGAAGAUGAAAAGAUCAAAGGCAAAAGCAUGUCUAUUUGCAGCUGUAUCUCCUAUGGUAUUCACAAGGAUAAUGUCCUUGAAGUCAGCAAAAGAAAUCUGGGAUUACCUCAAGGCCGAAUAUGAAGGUGAUGAGAGGAUUCGUGGAAUGCAAGUGCUGAAUCUAAUCAAGGAGUUUGAACUGCAGAGAAUGGAGGAGUCAGAAACCGUAAAAGAGUAUUCUGACAGACUUCUAAGCAUUGCCAACAAAGUGGGAUUGCUUGGAUCUGUGUUAAAAGAUUCAAUAAUUGUGAAAAAACUGCUUGUAACGGUUCCAGAGAGGUUUGAAGCCACCAUAACAACCCUAGAGAACACAAAGGACCUAUCAAAAUUUUUUCUUGCAGAGCUCUUAAAUGCUUUACAAGCACAAGAACAAAGAAGAGCUAUGAGACAAGAUGGAGCAAUAGAAGGAGCCUUAACAGCCAAUCAUAAAGGUGGUUGGAGAAACAAAGGUAGCCAGAUCAAGCAGAACCAGCAAGAAAAUGAAGAAGUUGUUGCACACAAUAACCACAAAAGGAGAAAUUACCCUCCUUGUAAGCAUUGCAACAAGUUAGGUCAUCCACCGUUUAAGUGCUGCAGAAGACCUGAUGCUAAGUGCAACAAGUGCAAUCAACUUGGGCAUGAAGAAGUCAUUUGUAGAAACCAAAGUGAGCAACAAGAUGUAAACCAAAGUGAGCAAAAAGACAUAGAUGCUCAAUUUGCAAAUGAGGAGGAGGAUGUACUUUUCGUUGCAACUGGUUUCUCCAACAAUAUUUCAAGUGCAUCGUGGUUAAUUGAUAGUGGAUGCACAAAUCACAUGACUUAUGACAAACAACUUUUCAAGGAGUUGAAGCCUUCAAAAAUUUCAAAGGUCAAGAUAGGCCAUGGGGGUCACAUUUCAGAAAAAGGAAUAGGAACCAUUGUUGUAGCAACACAUUCAGGUACUAAAACUAUUACUGAUGUGUUAUAUGUACCUAACAUAGACCAAAAUUUAUUAAGUGUUGGUCGGUUGCUGCAAAAAAGGAUUCAAGGUGUUUUUUGAAGAUAACCACGGUUUGAUCAAGGAUGCUACAGGACAAGAUUUGUUCAAGGUACAAAUGAGAGGCAAAAGUUUCUCAUUAGAUCUAUUUCAGGAGGAGCCGUCUGAUUAAGGACUUAUGAAGAUGCAAAAAUCUGAAAUAGAAGAUGAUCCACCAAUUAAAGGCAAUCGAUUACUCUCUGACAUAUAUCAUAGAUGUAACAUUGCAAUAUGUGAACCUGUGGAUCACAAAGAAGCUGCGGAUCACAAAGAACCUGUUGAUCAUAAAGAAGUUAUCAAUGACCCAAAGGCGGAAAAGGCAAUGGAGGAAGAGGUAGAUAUGAGUGAGAAGAACAAAACUCGGGAUCUUGUUGACAUACUUCGAGAUAGAAAGGUACAUCAAAUGGAUGUCAAGUCAACAUUCCUAAAUAGAUUUCUUGAAGAGAAAAUUUCUGUUGAGCAACCUAAAGGUCUCAUUGUGGAAGGAAAAGAAGACAAAGGUUAUCUUAUCAGCUUAGGCUUUGACAAAAGUCUUUUAGAAUCUGCACCUUAUUGAAAAAAAUAAAAAUUGCAGAUUUGUUUACCAAGCCACUUCCAACCAACAAGUUUGAGUUCUCAAGACAGAAGAUUGGAAUUUGCAGUUCAAAAAAUCAAGGAGGAGUGUUGGAAAUUCUGUUUUUUUAACUGUUCGUUAUUCUGUUUUAAUUCUGUUUUAAUUGUUGAUUUAAUAUUUCUAGGUAACUGCUCAUAAAAUUAGUUAAGAGUUUGUUACUGCAGUUACUAUAAAUGUAAUUGUUAGCAAAGAUAAUAAAAUAUCUUCCUCUGAAUUAUUCUAAGAAACCAACAAACAUCUUCACAUUAUUGCUUUUGAAGACUUGACUCCAAUAAUUCCUUUGAUGGAGUUCGCUUCUUCUUCAUCAUCAUCGUCUUCAUCCUUCUUAAGAUCAGAACCCCAGUUCACAUACGACGUGUUCAUCAACUCUUGGGGAGAAGAAAUCGGUAGAAAGUUGGUUUCUCAUCUUCAUUCUUUCCUUUUACAAGCUAAAGUAAAAACUUUGAUUAAGGAGGAGAAUCUGCAGGAGGGAAUGGGGCUGGAAGAACACAUGCGAGAAAUAGCAGCCUCUAAGAUUGCAAUAAUCGUUUUCUCCAAAUCAUACACUGAAUCUUACCAAAGUGUGUAUGAUAGGGAUAUGGGAAAUGGGAGGAACAGGUAAACCUACCUUAGCCAAAGCCAUCUAUUCAUUGGUAAGAGUUUAAUUGAAAAUAUUAGAGAUGUUUGGGAUCGAGUAGAUGGAAGCCAUGUUGAUGUGCAAGAAAAUCUUCUAUAUAAUGUCCUAAAAUCCAAGCUUGAGGUGGAAAGCGUUGGGAUGGGAAGAACUAUGAUCGAGAAUGGACUUUCUCGGAAAAAGUUGAUGAUUGUGCUUGAUGAUGUGAAUGUGAACUCUAAUAAUCAUUACAAAUAGACAUUUUCAUGUACUGGACCUACUCAAACUUUAUUUUGUUUAUACAAUGGAUUAUAUGAACGAAAAUGAGUCCAUUGAGCUUUUUAGUUGGCAUGCCUUUGGAGCAGCAAAACCAAGAGAAGACUUUAAUGAACUUGCAAGAAACAUGGUUGCUUAUUGUAGAGGACUACAACUAGAUCUUGAGGUCCUUGGUUCCUUUUUAAGUCAUAAGACAAUGAAAAAGUGGGAAAGUGUAUCCUCAAAAGCAAAAGUAAUUCCCAUUCAUAAAAUUCAAGAGAGCUUGAGAAUAAGUUUUGAUGAUUUAAGCAAUGUGGAAAAGCAUAUAUUUCUUGAUGUAUGUUGUUUCUUUGUUGGUAAAGACAAAGGCUAUGUCACAGAUAUACUAAAUGGAUGUGAACUGUAUGCUGAUAUUGGAAUAACAGUUCUCAUAGAACCUGGUCUUAUAAAAGUUGAACGGAACAAUAAACUUGAAAUGCCUUCUUUGUUACGAGACAUGGGAAGAGAAAUUAUUCGUCAGAGUUGGCCAAAGGAACCGGGGAAAAGGAGUCGAUUAUGGGUUCAGGAUGAUGUCAAAGAUGUACUGAAAGAGAAUACUGUAAGAACAUUCCUUUUAUGAUUUUGAAACUUCGAUUCAAAGUAUUUUUUUUUUUCAAGUGCAAUGCAUGUGUCGUUAACCGAUUAGGCCCAGCAUUAAGUAUCGAUGAUCAACAGAUAUUGAUAUAUUUCUCAAUUGUAUCUCUUCGCUAUAUUCAUCACAGGGGACAGAAGCUAUCCAGGGAUUGUCUCUGAAACUGCAUUCAACCAGCAGAGAUUGCUUCAAAGCUCAUGCUUUCAGGGAAAUGAAGGGAUUAAGACUGCUACAACUGGAUCAUGUACAACUUACUGGAGAUUAUGGGUACAUUUCUAAACAAUUGAGAUGGAUUUCUUGGCAAGGGUUUCGUUCUAAGUACAUACCAAACAACUUUCGUAUGGAAAAUGUAAUUGCAAUUGAUUUAAAACAUAGUCAUCUUCAACUCGUCUGGAAACAACCCCAGGUAUUUUAUUACAUGUUUUUUUCUUUUAAAGCUCACAGGUUAAUUAAAAUAGAUAUAGUAUAAUUGGUUCAGGUUAUAACUAUUGCAUUCUUCUAUUUUCUUCUCUAAUAUUUUCCAAAAUUACAAUCUUUGUAGGUUUUAAAGUGGCUAAAAUUCCUUAAUCUUAGUCACUCCAAGUUCUUGAGAGAAACACCUGACUUUUCAGGACUACCAAGUCUUGAAAAGCUCAUUCUAAAAGAUUGCCCAAGUUUGUGCAAGGAACACCAAACCAUUGGAGAUCUCCG
rnacentral:lncRNA from 1 species